UCCCAGACUCCUACGGGAGGCAGCAGUGAGGAAUAUUGGUCAAUGGCCGAGAGGCUGAACCAGCCAAGUCGCGUGAGGGAAGACGGCCCUACGGGUUGUAAACCUCUUUUGUCGGGGAGCGAAGCGAACCACGUGUGGUUCAUUGAGAGUACCCGGAGAAAAAGCAUCGGCUAACUCCGUGCCAGCAGCCGCGGUAAUACGGAGGAUGCGAGCGUUAUCCGGAUUUAUUGGGUUUAAAGGGUGCGUAGGCGGGCUUUUAAGUCAGCGGUAAAAAUUCGGGGCUCAACCCCGUCCGGCCGUUGAAACUGGGGGCCUUGAGUGGGCGAGAAGAAGGCGGAAUGCGUGGUGUAGCGGUGAAAUGCAUAGAUAUCACGCAGAACUCCGAUUGCGAAGGCAGCAUACCGGCGCCCGACUGACGCUGAGGCACGAAAGCGUGGGUAUCGAACAGGAUUAGAUACCCCGGUA
rnacentral:rRNA from 1 species